CCUACGGGGGGCAGCAGUGAGGAAUAUUGGUCAAUGGCCGGAAGGCUGAACCAGCCAUGCCGCGUGAAGGUCAGUGCCCUAUGGGCGUUAAACUUCUUUUGUGCGGGAGCAAUAAUGGUCACGUGUGGCCAGACGAGAGUACCGUACGAAUAAGCAUCGGCUAACUCCGUGCCAGCAGCCGCGGUAAUACGGGGGAUGCAAGCGUUAUCCGGAUUUAUUGGGUUUAAAGGGUGCGUGGGCUGUGAGGUAAGUCAGCGGUGAAAUGCCCCCGCUCAACGGGGUGAAGUGCCAUUGAUACUGCCAUGCUGGAAUGCGGAUGCCGUUGGAGGAAUGUGUGGUGUAGCGGUGAAAUGCAUAGAUAUAACACAGAACACCGAUUGCGAAGGCAUCUCACGAAUCCGCGAUUGACGCUGAUGCACGAAAGCGUGGGUAUCAAACAGGAUUAGAUACCCCAGUAGUC
rnacentral:rRNA from 1 species